GACGAACGCUGGCGGCGUGCUUAACACAUGCAAGUCGAGCGGAGCGGCGAACGGGUGAGUAACGCGUGAGUAACUGCCCCCCUCUCUGGGAUAACAGUUGGAAACGGCUGCUAAUACCGGAUAGUGGGGGAUGACUCGGGUCCUAUCAGCUUGUUGGUGGGGUAGUGGCCUAACAAGGCGACGACGGGUAGCCGGCCUGGGAGGGCGACCGGCCACAAUGGGCUGAGUGACGUCCCAAACGCCAACGGGGGGCAGCAGGGGGGAUUAUUGCACAGUGGGGGAAACCCUGAGGCAGAAACGCCGCGUGCGGGAUGACGGCCUUCGGGUUGUAAACCGCUUUCAGCCAUGACGCGGUAGUGGCAGAAGAAGCACCGGCUAACUACGUGCCAGCAGCCGCGGUAAUUC
rnacentral:rRNA from 1 species